UAAGUAUACCGGAAGGUGUGCUUGGACA
rnacentral:rRNA from 1 species